AAUAAUCUCAUUUUUCGUUUUUCUGUGUCCAACGUUUGACCAUUCGUCUUAUUUGAAUUUUUUUUGCGAUUAAUAUUUUUAUUCUUACUAGAUGAUAAAAUAUGAAUAGUACUUUGACUUUUUUUUUAAGUUUUUGUACAAAUUUUUUAAAUAAGACGAAUGGUCAAACGUUGGACACAGAAAAACGAAAAAUGAGAUUAUU
rnacentral:pre_miRNA from 1 species